rnacentral:rRNA from 1 species
GAACUGAAGAGUUUGAUCAUGGCUCAGAUUGAACGCUGGCGGCAGGCCUAACACAUGCAAGUCGAGCGGAUGAUUGGAGCUUGCUCCAUGAUUCAGCGGCGGACGGGUGAGUAAUGCCUAGGAAUCUGCCUGGUAGUGGGGGACAACGUUUCGAAAGGAACGCUAAUACCGCAUACGUCCUACGGGAGAAAGUGGGGGAUCUUCGGACCUCACGCUAUCAGAUGAGCCUAGGUCGGAUUAGCUAGUUGGUGAGGUAAAGGCUCACCAAGGCGACGAUCCGUAACUGGUCUG